ensembl:lncRNA
GGAAAAUUGACUGAUUAGUGAAGUGUUAUUCGAAAUUUAAUGCAGAAAUAUCUAUGGAUCCCUAUCAUUUUUUUCUAGUUUAGUUUUGUUCUUCAUACAGAAAAUGUGAAAAACUUUAAAUGUGGAAAAAAAGGCAUUGCAGCUGUAGCGAGCCAGGAGUGAACAAGAAGUGAAUCUAGAUGAGUUUGUACAAAAUGAUCUGAAAAGCAGAAAUGGCUACUUUGGGUUGUGUCACAAGAAUGAAAACCCAGAAUAACAACCUGGAAGUCAUGUGUGCUGCUCCUGGAAUGCCUUCCCCCUACCCCAGAGGACCAGCUGUCAGUUUGAGCAUGAUUUCAGGGCCCAGAAUAUGACGCACAUGUGAUUGUAAAUAUCCUCAGAAUGCCCAUUCAUUGUGGUGAUAACCCCAG